rnacentral:rRNA from 1 species
GACGAACGCUGGCGGCGUGCUUAACACAUGCAAGUCGAACGGAAAGGCCCUGCUUUUGUGGGGUGCUCGAGUGGCGAACGGGUGAGUAACACGUGAGUAACCUGCCCUUGACUUUGGGAUAACUUCAGGAAACUGGGGCUAAUACCGGAUAGGAGCUCCUGCUGCAUGGUGGGGGUUGGAAAGUUUCGGCGGUUGGGGAUGGACUCGCGGCUUAUCAGCUUGUUGGUGGGGUAGUGGCUUACCAAGGCUUUGACGGGUAGCCGGCCUGAGAGGGUGACCGGCGACAUUGGGACUGAGAUACGGCCCAGACUCCUACGGGAGGCAGCAGUGGGGAAUAUUGCACAAUGGGCGGAAGCCUGAUGCAGCAACGCCGCGUGCGGGAUGACGGCCUUCGGGUUGUAAACCGCUUUCGCCUGUGACGAAGCGCGAGUGACGGUAAUGGGUAAAGAAGCACCGGCUAACUACGUG